CACACACACACACACACACACACACACACACACACACACACACACAUAAACACAAUGACACUUAAACAAACCACUACAUAUACACACAGUAAGAAAGGUUGAAAUACAUGAAGACACAGAGAGACAGAGGCAGGUUCACAGUGUCUCAGAUGCUGUUUUUAGAAACAUUGAAGUUCUGAGAUGGAAAAUACUUCUGAUGAUUCAGUGUCGGCGUUGUUUGACUUCUCUGAACGAGCUCAGAGAAACAGCAGCUUCUGGCCUGAUUCAUCCGGUGUGGUUUGUUUCUAACUUCUUGAGGUGAGGUGAGUCAGUCAGGUGGAACAGUAAACUUAAAAGAUUGUUUUAUCAAUUUAUCUAUGUAUUCAAUUUAGCAUUUUACAUUUUUUAAUUAUUCAAAUAUUUUAUUUUAAAAUUAUUUGUUAAAUGUUUAACAAAAUUUAAUUAAAUUAAGUUAAGUUAAGUUUAAUUAAAUUUGUGUAAUUUUAUCAAAAGUCAAUUUCCUUCUUUAGUUAUUCAUCAAUUCUUAGACAAAGGUGAAAACACAAAUAGAACAACAAGAAGAUACGCAAUCUUUAACAGUAUGGAAGGUGCUCAGAGGUUGUGGGUUUGAAUCCCAUCACCGUACAGUCAUUGUUGAGUGAGCACUUUGUGAGCACAUCAACAGCUCACGGCAACAGCCAACCCUGUCAUUACGGCUCAACCUGCCUGUUACCACGGUAACCAGGUAGCGUUACAGCUGUAAUCACAGCGUCUCAUGAGGACACAGUGUACCUUGAAGGGGGCGGUGCUAGUCAAAGAGCCAAUUAGAGGCUUGUAGUUGUCUCAGCGUUCUUCUUCAACAGUCCUUUAUUAGGGGUUCUACUAAAGGGUCACUCAAUGCAUUCAUCAGGUCCAUGUUGCAAUGCAUUGUGGGUGAAACCUGUUAGGGAGUCUGCAGAAAGUCUGAUCACAUUUUUUUUGGCGGAUGAAUAGACAAGAGGAAAGGAGGAAAUAAAAGCAAAACCAUUAUCUGAAAUCUUGUAUAAAUAACGAGAAUUUAAAAAGUUCUUCGCUCUCUUUGGCUUUUCCUUUGGCCCCUAUUUGUGCGUCCAAUCGCUUUAGCCACGUCGGAAGAUCGAGUCCAGGUGUCUGACUCGCGACUUUGCCCCCGAACAGAAAACCAGAAGCAAUUUCUGUUUGCUUGCUUGAAAUUUAUAGAAAAAAUAAGAAACAUGAAAUGAAGACGUUAUAUUUGGUUUGGAUGCCCAAUGAUGCCAAAUCACCAUCGAGGGUAGUUACAGGGCUGAGGCCGACGUCAAAAGACGGUAUCUGUCGUAACCCGUUUUCUUCCACCAACUAUGCGCCAUUCGCACCAACUUAUAGGAGCUUAUAGGAGCGCCCGCCUCUCCUGCAGGGGGCAGACUUUGCUUUUACAGUAACACAAAUAAAAAAGAACAAAAAAAUAAGUUAUUUUAAUACAUGACAAACUUAAAUGCGGCUCCUACAGUUUUCAUUUAUGUAAUGCAAACAAUUCAUUAACUUUUUUAAAUUAAAAAUAUUUGAUUCUGUCUCAACACAAAUCAACAUUUUAACUGCUUAAAGGGAGCAGUUUGCCCUUCUAUUCACUCUGUGCGCGUGUCUUUAUCUUAUUGAACGACUAUUGGUUCCAGAUGAUUGGCUCUACUUCAGAGGUCAGACGGUGGGAAUAUUAAUGUAUGUGUGUUUCUUCCCAUAUUUCCCCAUGGAAGGGUUUUUAAUUUUUUGGGGAAUUUUUCCUGUGCCGAUGUGAAGGUUUCAGAACAGAAAAAAAUAAUACAUUUAUAAAGUAUUCUUUAACCUUUUGUCAGGAAAUAGUGGAUGUAAAAGUAAACUCAACCCAAAACCUUUGAAUAGCUUAAAUGAUUGAUCCUCUAUAAAUCCAAUAACCUGUUAAGAGUCUCUUAUACAGUACAAUACAUUUCAUCAUUAUACAUUGCAAAAGCUCUUCAAAAACAGAAUGCAUAAAAAUGAGCAGUAAAAAUUACAACACAUGAUAAUAUGGCAUGAAAGUGAACACCAUGCUGGAUUUAAAACCUUUGAAUUUGCUUUCAUGAUGAUCAACUAGAAGUCCAACGCGCUGUCCAUUGCGCCACAGAGUCGCGCAUGAUUUGCAAAGAAUUCUCAAAAAAAGAAGAUAUCAAGUGAAUCAAAUAGUCCAAAGCAUGAGAAUACAGCGUAAAGAUGAACACCAUGCUGGAUUUAAAACUCGACUACGACAGAAGUAAAACUUUAAAACUCAAAAUGUAACGGACGGUAAAUGCAUUAUUAUGGGAUGGGAUAAAAUGCUUUUAUUUAAGCAGUAAUUCCCCAGAGAGAUUUCUGGCUUUUGUCACUGAAUCUAAAGUUCAACUCUGGUGGGACUCGAACCCACAACCUUUGAAUUACUUUCAUGAUGAUAUACUAGAAGUCCAACGCGCUGUCCAUUGCGCCACAGAGUCGCUCAUGAUUUGCAAAGAAUUCUCAAAAAAAGAAGAUAUCAAAAGAAAAAAAUAGUCCAGCACAUGAUAAUACAGCGUAAAGAUGAACACCAUGCUGGAUUUAAAACUCGACUACGACAGGAGUAAAACUUUAAAAC
ensembl:lncRNA